rnacentral:tRNA from 1 species
GCCUGGGUGGCUCAGUCAGUUGAGCGUCCGAUUUCAAUUCAGGGCAUGAUCUCACGGUUUGUGGGUUUGAGCCCCGCAUCAGGCU